GGGUAAUUGCAUUUUUGUAACUAGCUUUUCAUUUAACAUCACAAUGCAGGUUUGUUUUCCACGUGGCUGUUUCUUCCUCUCAGUGAUUUUGAAUGGCUACAGAGAUCCCCAUCAAUGGAUGGGAACAUGACUUCUUAAAGCUUCUUAGAUGUCUAUGAAUAGAAUUUCAAAAUAUUGGAUAUUAUUAUUAAAACAUUUUGCCAUUACUAGGAAUUCUGCAUUUUUUCCUACAAGGCAUUUUAAAACACUUUUUGUAUGUUCACUUUCUAUGUGCUUUUCUUCUGGAAGUACCUUGUUUAUGUUUUCAAAUAGAUGCAUUCUUUUUAAAGAUGAACUCUUUUAUGAAAUGUUUUUAAUAUGGUUAUUUAUUUUUUGGUUUGAUUUUCCUGGAGUUGAUAUUACCUUUUAGAUAAUUUCAAAGCUUUAAUUAAAACACAGAAGUUCACAUUAGUACUCAGCCAAAUUCAAUACUCUUUUCUUCAGGUUUUCUGUGAUUAUUAUUAUAUAAUUCAAAUACAUAUAGUCUUAUGAGUAUAUAAAUACAAACAUCACAUUCAGAGUAGUAUUUUUAUCAUUACAGAUCUCUAAAUUUCUUAUGAGCUUUCUUAGAGAGUUUUCUAUGUGGACUCGUGGAAAAAAAAGUCUGUGACUUAGAAUCACCAUCUCUCCUCCUGGAAAGAUGAAGGGAACCACCUUACUGGUUAAUGAUAUUUGUACCCAGUUGUUUUUUAAUUCCCUCCAGGUGAACUAUCCCCCAGGAAGCCCCUGAUCUCCUAUGCAGAUGUGUCUCUGCUGGACACCGUUUGCCAGACACACUCAGACACACUGAGUGUCUCUUCUGUCCAGCUGAGACCCCGGGGACAUUUAGGGGUUUGCCACCCAGAGGCUAGGGAUGCCAACCUGCCUGCAAGAUUAACACAUUGGUGUGAUGAAGCCGUUUUAAACAACAGAUCUACAUAACCAGUGCACCAGUAAUUCUCUGAAACUCCCUGAAACAUACCACCCGUGCUCCUGUGGCUAUCCAUACCAAGCUCUCUGUACACGCAACCCAACCACUGCUUUCAUUUUGCAAGAAAAAGAAUAUUGCUGUGGAUGAAAUCAGACACAGGGAACAUAGUUUUCAGAUGAAAGAGCAUGGUGUUAUUUACUGAUCGAGAGUGUCAUUCUAGAAACAGGGCUACAUGUAUGUAUGCUUCCACGCAUUCAGGUUUAGGCUGCAGAUAAGCCACUGGCCUCUACGUGCAGUUGUGUUUGUGGUUAAACUGAGAAGAGCAAACAUAUCAUUAGCUCUUCAACUGUGUGAUUAUAUGGUCUUAGCAUGACUCAGGUGACAUAUGACAGCUUGUGUGAACACUCGAGAGUCCCAGAAAGUGAUGUGUAAAAGACACUUUUCUGUAAUUGGUCCCAGGGCAAAGGGCUGAUUGCUUGUAUAAAAGCCUCCAGAUCCGCAGUUGGUCUGACUUCUAAUUAGCGAAGCAAAAAAGAGCUGAACUUCAGAAAUUGUGAUGAGUCCGUGAUCUUUUUUCCUUUAAGGAAAUAAUCACUUUGCCCUUGAACUCCAAAAGGCCCUGAAAUCAACGGACUCUCCUCUUAAACUCCUUAACAAGCAUGGGGAUUAGAGGCAAGCAGUGUAGAAUGGUUCAUAUUAGAUAAAAAUGAUAAUGGACAAUAGAAAUUCACCUAUGAAUAAGCAAGGUCCUUUCACUGAGGUUUCUUCUCCCCACUUCUUUUUUUUUUU